AGUGAACGCUGGCGGUAGGCCUAACACAUGCAAGUCGAACGGCAGCACAGUAAGAGCUUGCUCUUACGGGUGGCGAGUGGCGGACGGGUGAGGAAUACAUCGGAAUCUACUUUUUCGUGGGGGAUAACGUAGGGAAACUUACGCUAAUACCGCAUACGACCUACGGUUGAAAGCAUGGGAUCUUCGGACCUUGCGCGAUUGAAUGAGCCGAUGUCGGAUUAGCUAGUUGGCGGGUUAAAGGCCCACCAAGGCGACGAUCCGUAGCUGGUCUGAGAGGAUGAUCAGCCACACGGGAACUGAGACACGGUCCAGACUCCUACGGGAGGGAGCAGUGGGGAAUAUUGGACAAUGGGGGCGAGCCUGAUCCAGCCAGACCGCGUGGGUGAAGAAGGCCUUCGGGUUGUAAAGCCCUUUUGUUGGGAAAGAAAAGCAGCAGGUUAAUACCCCGCUGUUCUGACGGUACCCAAAGAAUAAGCACCGGCUAACUUCGUG
rnacentral:rRNA from 1 species